GACGAACGCUGGCGGCGUGCUUAACACAUGCAAGUCGAACGGAAAGGCCCUGCUUUUGUGGCGUGCUCGAGUGGCGAACACGUGUGUAACACGUGUGUAAACUGCCCUUGACUUUGGGAUAAAUUCAGGAAACUGCGGCUAAUACCGGAUAGGAGCUCCUGCUGCACGUUGUGGGUUGGAAAGAUUCGGCGGUUGUGGAUGGUUUGGCUGGUUACCAGCUUGUUUGUGGAGUAGUGGCUGACCAAGGGUUCGAAGGGUAGCCGGCCUGAGAGGGUGACCGGCGACAAUGGGACUAAGAGACGGCGCAGUAGGGUACGGGAGGCAGUGGGCGAGAAUAUUGCGGAAUGGGGGGGAGCCUGUUACAGAGACGCUGCGUGCGGGAAGACGGCUUUCGAGUGGUGAACAGCUGUGGCCGGAGACGAAGCGUGAGUGACGGUAAUGGGUAAAGAAGCAACGGCUAACUACGUG
rnacentral:rRNA from 1 species